GACGAACGCUGGCGGCGUGCUUAACACAUGCAAGUCGAACGGAAAGGCCCUGCUUUUGUGGGGUGCUCGAGUGGCGAACGGGUGAGUAACACGUGAGUAACCUGCCCUUGACUUUGGGAUAACUUCAGGAAACUGGGGCUAAUACCGGAUAGGAGCCCCUGCUGCAUGGUGGGGGUUGGAAAGUUUCGGCGGUUGGGGAUGGACUCGCGGCUUAUCAGCUUGUUGGUGGGGUAGUGGCUUACCAAGGCUUUGACGGGUAGCCGGCCUGGAAGGUGACCGGCCACAAUGGGACUGAGAUACGGCCCAGACUCCUACGGGAGGCAGCAGUGGGGAAUAUUGCACAAUGGGCGGAAGCCUGAUGCAGCAACGCCGCGUGCGGGAUGACGGCCUUCGGGUUGUAAACCGCUUUCGCCUGUGACGAAGCGUGAGUGACGGUAAUGGGUGAAGAAGCACCGGCUAACUACGUG
rnacentral:rRNA from 1 species